UGAAAUGAUGAAGUUUGCACUGGGCUCUGAGAGCAAUUUGACAGUUGCUUGUAUUGAUGUAUAAUGCAGCCUAGAAAGCUUGUCUGAUCU